rnacentral:tRNA from 1 species
UCCCUGGUGGUCCAGUGACUAAGAUUCCUUGCUCCAAAUGCAAGGGGCCCAGGUUCCAUUCCUGGUCAGUGAA